UUAUAUCAAUUAUAAUCUUUGAUUUAUUCAGUAUCUUAAAAAAAUUUCUUAAUAGUGAUAUUUACUAGAUAGUAAGAUAUACUCAAAUAAAUAAUGAAAUAAUGGAGAAAAAGAUUUAACAUAACCAGAAAAAAAUUGAAUGCAAAAAUAUUAAGCCUUUUACAUAUAUCCAGGUUGUUGUUGAGGUGGAGGAUAUCCUGGUUGCUGUUGUGGAGG
rnacentral:rRNA from 1 species